GUUCCUGUAGCACAAUAGGUAGCGCAUUGGUCUUCCAAUCCGAAGGUCGUGGUUUCGAAUCCCACCUGGGAUG